rnacentral:rRNA from 1 species
UACGUAGGGUGCGAGCGUUGUCCGGAAUUAUUGGGCGUAAAGAGCUCGUAGGCGGUUUGUUGCGUCGGCCGUGAAAACCUGGGGCUUAACCCUGAGCCUGCUUCCGAUACGGGCAGACUAGAGGUAUGCAGGGGAGAACGGAAUUCCUGGUGUAGCGGUGAAAUGCGCAGAUAUCAGGAAGAACACCCGUGGCGAAGGCGGCUCUCUGGGACGGUACUGACGCUGAGACGCGAAAGCGUGGGAGCGAACAGG